rnacentral:rRNA from 1 species
UGCUGCUUCGCUGACGAGUGGCGGACGGGUGAGUAAUGUCUGGGAAACUGCCUGAUGGAGGGGGAUAACUACUGGAAACGGUAGCUAAUACCGCAUAACGUCGCAAGACCAAAGAGGGGGACCUUCGGGCCUCUUGCCAUCGGAUGUGCCCAGAUGGGAUUAGCUAGUAGGUGGGGUAACGGCUCACCUAGGCGACGAUCCCUAGCUGGUCUGAGAGGAUGACCAGCCACACUGGAACUGAGACACGGUCCAGACUCCUACGGGAGGCAGCAGUGGGGAAUAUUGCACAAUGGGCGCAAGCCUGAUGCAGCCAUGCCGCGUGUAUGAAGAAGGCCUUCGGGUUGUAAAGUACUUUCAGCGGGGAGGAAGGCGACAAGGUUAAUAACCUUGUCGAUUGACGUUACCCGCAGAAGAAGCACCGGCUAACUCCGUGCCAGCGGCCGCGGUAAUACGGAGGGUGCAAGCGUUAAUCGGAAUUACUGGGCGUAAAGCGCACGCAGGCGGUCUGUCAAGUCGGAUGUGAAAUCCCCGGGCUCAACCUGGGAACUGCAUUCGAAACUGGCAGGCUAGAGUCUUGUAGAGGGGGGUAGAAUUCCAGGUGUAGCGGUGAAAUGCGUAGAGAUCUGGAGGAAUACCGGUGGCGAAGGCGGCCCCCUGGACAAAGACUGACGCUCAGGUGCGAAAGCGUGGGGAGCAAACAGGAUUAGAUACCCUGGUAGUCCACGCCGUAAACGAUGUCGACUUGGAGUUGUGCCCUUGAGGCGUGGCUUCCGGAGCUAACGCGUUAAGUCGACCGCCUGG